UACGUAGGGGGCGAGCGUUGUCCGGAGUUACUGGGCGUAAAGCGCGCGCAGGCGGUCUUCCAAGUCAGUGGUGAAAGCCCGGAGCUCAACUCCGGAACUGCCAUUGAAACUGUGAGACUGGAGUACGAGAGAGGUGAGUGGAAUUCCCAGUGUAGAGGUGAAAUUCGUAGAUAUUGGGAAGAACACCGGUGGCGAAGGCGGCUCACUGGCUCGUAACUGACGCUCAGGCGCGACAGCGUGGGGAUCAAACAGG
rnacentral:rRNA from 1 species